AAAGCUGGCUGAGGAUCUGUCCCCUAACGACCGCGCCCGAAGAAACAGACUCUGGUCGUCUGUGGAAGCUGCGCGCAACGAAAACAAGCUGGCGUUCUUCGUAGGAGGUCGUGCGUUCGUGGAGGGAAAAGAGAUUUUUCCAGCCCUAUAAUUUGAUCCAAGGUAUUUUGAGGUGAAAACUGAAGUAUCUUAAGAUUAACUUGGUUUCACUGCCGUUCUUUUUUUGUUUGUUUGUUUUUGUUGUUGGACUCAUAAAACGAUCAGAGUUAAACUGAUGCAGUUUAUUUGUUAUAAGUUUAUUGGUCUUCAGUUUGGCUGCAAUAUUUUUUACUGAAAAUGUUAUGAGCAAGCUGGAUAAGCUUCUUUUUAUUUUUUUUUUAUUUUUAUUCUUUUUUUGAAUAAUUAGUUAUUUAAAUGGAGCAAGAAAAUUUCUAUUAAGCUCCCUUUCAAUGCUCAUAUGUGAAGCGUUUAUUUAUUUUAUUUAUUUAUUUUUACCACAUUGGUUUUAUUGUUUUAGGCUAUUGUAUUCCUAUUAUUAUUCAAGUUCACAAUUUCCUUACUCAGGGGUUGCAGUUCUCAUCUUAUAUAGGACUCUCUUAAGUGACCAGGUUCAACUGUUCUUCAUUUACUUGGUUUAAGCUUUUUCUUAUUUGUCACUUUUAAUUUUUGUUACUAUCAUUAUGUCUCUGUCUGUUAUUUCUUUAAAUGCAAGAGGUUUAAGAAACAAUGUUAAACGUAAGGCUAUUUUUUUGUUUUGCAAGCAGUUCAAUUCAGAUUUCUGUUUUAUACAAGAGUCUCACUCAACAGAACAAGAAAAAACAUUUCGGAGAUCGCAAUGGGGAGAUGAUCUGUGGAUGUCUCAUGGUACAGAGCAUGCUGCUGGUGUCUGCAUACUUAAAGGAAGAUUUAAUGGUAAAAUCUUGAAUUCUGACAUAGAUAAAGAUGGUCAUUACAUUUUUCUAAUAGUUGAGGCUGCACACUCUAUCUAUAUUUUAGUCAAUGUGUAUGGUUUUAACUGUCAGAGGGAGAAUAAACUAUAUUUUGAUAGGUUGGAGGAGCGCCUACUGCGCUGGUUAUCUAAAUAUCCCAAUUCUUUUAUUAUUUUUGGUGGAGACUUUAAUACAGUGUUUAACAGCUAUUUGGACAGAUGGCCUUCUAGAAGUUUAGACUCUAACUCAUUCUUAAGACUGUUUGCACAAAGAUUCAACUUAGUCGAUUCUUGGAGGGAUUCUCAUUCGUCUCAGAUAGCUUAUACAUGGUGUAAUAAGACUCAAACCAGACACUCACGUAUCGAUUUUUGGCUUAUCUUAUAAGAUUUAGAAAAAGUUAAAACGGAUAUUUAUCCUACACCACUCUCAGACCAUAAAAUGGUUAGCUUAUCGAUCCCGUUGUCA
ensembl:lncRNA